UCUGGCACUUUCAGCACAUGUAAGAGU
rnacentral:misc_RNA from 1 species